CCCGUCCUUGACCAUGCCGCGACUGUCCUCCCCAUGGGCGGAGUGGAAGCGGCGGGACCCACUGAAGGCCUGGCGAGACAGGACUAUGUCGCGGAAAAUACGGCAGGCCUCUCGGGCGGACGGGA
rnacentral:SRP_RNA from 11 species